GGUAGUGGCUCAGUGGUAGAGCACUAGCCUAGCAUGUUUGAGGCCCUGGGUUUGAUCCUCAGCACCA
rnacentral:tRNA from 1 species